GACGAACGCUGGCGGCGUGCCUAAUACAUGCCAGUCGAACGCAUUUUCUUUCACCGUAGCUUGCUACACCGAAAGAAAAUGAGUGGCGAACGGGUGAGUAACACGUGGGUAACCUGCCCAUCAGCGGGGGAUAACACUUGGAAACAGGUGCUAAUACCGCAUAAUUCCAUUUACUGCAUGGUAGAUGGAUGAAAGGCGCUUUUGCGUCACUGAUGGAUGGACCCGCGGUGCAUUAGCUAGUUGGUGGGGUAACGGCCUACCAAGGCUGCGAUGCAUAGCCGACCUGAGAGGGUGAUCGGCCACACUGGGACUGAGACACGGCCCAGACUCCUACGGGAGGCAGCAGUAGGGAAUCUUCGGCAAUGGACGCAAGUCUGACCGAGCAACGCCGCGUGAGUGAAGAAGGGUUUCGGAUCGUAAAACUCUGUUGUUAGAAAAGAACAAGGAUGAGAGUGGAAAGUUCAUCCCUUGACGGUAUCUAACCAGAAAGCCACGGCUAACUACGUG
rnacentral:rRNA from 1 species